rnacentral:rRNA from 1 species
UACGGAGGAUCCAAGCGUUAUCCGGAUUUAUUGGGUUUAAAGGGUGCGUAGGCGGAUUGAUAAGUUAGAGGUGAAAUGUCCGAGCUCAACUCGGGAACUGCCUCUAAUACUGUUGAUCUAGAGAGUAGAUGCGGUAGGCGGAAUGUAAGGUGUAGCGGUGAAAUGCUUAGAGAUCAUACAGAACACCGAUUGCGAAGGCAGCUUACCAAUCUAUAUCUGACGUUGAGGCACGAAAGCGUGGGGAGCAAACAGG